rnacentral:rRNA from 1 species
UACGGAGGGUGCAAGCGUUAAUCGGAAUUACUGGGCGUAAAGCGCGCGUAGGCGGCUGGAUAAGUCGAUUGUGAAAUCCCCGGGCUCAACCUGGGAACUGCAUUUGUGACUGCAUCGCUGGAGUGCGGGCAGAGGGGGAUGGAAUUCCGGCGUGUAGCAGUGAAAUGCGUAGAUAUGCGGAGGAACACCGAUGGCGAAGGCAAUCCCCUGGGCCUGCACUGACGCUCAUGCACGAAAGCGUGGGGAGCAAACAGG